AGUGAACGCUGGCGGCAGGCCUAACACAUGCAAGUCGAGCGGCAGCGCGGGGGCAACCCUGGCGGCGAGCGGCGGACGGGUGAGGAAUACAUCGGAAUCUACCCAGUCGUGGGGGAUAACGUAGGGAAACUUACGCUAAUACCGCAUAUGACCUGAGGGUGAAAGCAGGGGACCGCAAGGCCUUGCGCNAUUGGAUGAGCCGAUGUCCGAUUAGCUAGUUGGUGAGGUAAAGGCUCACCAAGGCGACGAUCGGUAGCUGGUCUGAGAGGAUGAUCAGCCACACUGGAACUGAGACACGGUCCAGACUCCUACGGGAGGCAGCAGUGGGGGAACUAUUGGGACAAUGGGCCGCAAGCCUGAUCCAGCCAUGCCGCGUGUGUGAAGAAGGCCUUUGGGUUGUAAAGCACUUUUGUUGGGGAAGAAAUCUUCCGACCUAAUACGUCGGGAGGCUGACGGUACCCAAAGAAUAAGCACCGGCUAACUUCGUGCCAGCAGCCGCGGUAAUACGAAGGGUGCAAGCGUUACUCGGAAUUACUGGGCGUAAAGCGUGCGUAGGUGGUUCGUUAAGUCUGCGUGAAAGCCCCGGGGUCAACCUGGAAUGGCGGUGAUACUGGCGGACUAGAGUGCGGUAGAGGGU
rnacentral:rRNA from 1 species